rnacentral:rRNA from 1 species
GUGAACGCUGGCGGUAGGCCUAACACAUGCAAGUCGAACGGCAGCACAGUAAGAGCUUGCUCUUACGGGUGGCGAGUGGCGGACGGGUGAGGAAUACAUCGGAAUCUACUUUUUCGUGGGGGAUAACGUAGGGAAACUUACGCUAAUACCGCAUACGACCUACGGGUGAAAGCAGGGGAUCUUCGGACCUUGCGCGAUUGAAUAAGCCGAUGUCGGAUUAGCUAGUUGGCGGGGUAAAGGCCCACCGAGGCGACGAUCCGUAGCUGGUCUGAGAGGAUGAUCAGCCACACUGGAACUGAGACACGGUCCAGACUCCUACGGGAGGCAGCAGUGGGGAAUAUUGGACAAUGGGCGCAAGCCUGAUCCAGCCAUACCGCGUGGGUGAAGAAGGCCUUCGGGUUGUAAAGCCCUUUUGUUGGGAAAGAAAAGCAGCAGGUUAAUACCCCGCUGUUCUGACGGUACCCAAAGAAUAAGCACCGGCUAACUUCGUG